AGCGAACGCUGGCGGCAGGCCUAACACAUGCAAGUCGAACGGCUCUUCGGAGCAGUGGCGGACGGGUGAGUAACGCGUGGGAACGUGCCCUUUGGUUCGGAACAACACAGGGAAACUUGUGCUAAUACCGGAUGAGCCCUUCGGGGGAAAGAUUUAUCGCCAUUGGAGCGGCCCGCGUUGGAUUAGGCAGUUGGUGGGGUAAAGGCCCACCAAGCCGACGAUCCAUAGCUGGUCUGAGAGGAUGAUCAGCCACACUGGGACUGAGACACGGCCCAGACUCCUACGGGAGGCAGCAGUGGGGAAUCUUGCGCAAUGGGCGAAAGCCUGACGCAGCCAUGCCGCGUGAAUGAUGAAGGUCUUAGGAUUGUAAAAUUCUUUCACCGGGGAAGAUAAUGACGGUACCCGGAGAAGAAGCCCCGGCUAACUUCGUGCCAGCAGCCGCGGUAAUACGAAGGGGGCUAGCGUUGCUCGGAAUUACUGGGCGUAAAGGGCGCGUAGGUGGACAGUUUAGUCAGAGGUAAAAGCCCAGGGCUCAACCUUGGAACUGCCUUUGAUACUGGCUGUCUUGAGUUCGGGAGAGGUGAGUGGAAUGCCGAGUGUAGAGGUGAAAUUCGUAGAUAUUCGGCGGAACACCAGUGGCGAAGGCGACUCACUGGCCCGAUACUGACGCUGAGGCGCGAAAGCGUGGGGAGCAAACAGG
rnacentral:rRNA from 1 species